rnacentral:rRNA from 1 species
UACGGAGGGUGCAAGCGUUAUCCGGAUUCACUGGGUUUAAAGGGUGCGUAGGUGGGCUAGUAAGUCAGUGGUGAAAUCUCCGGGCUUAACCCGGAAACUGCCAUUGAUACUAUUAGUCUUGAAUGUCGUGGAGGUAAGCGGAAUAUGUCAUGUAGCGGUGAAAUGCUUAGAUAUGACAUAGAGCACCGAUAGCGUAGGCAGCUUGCUACACGAAUAUUGACACUGAGGCACGAAAGCGUGGGGAUCAAACAGG